UACGGAGGGUGCAAGCGUUAUCCGGAUUCACUGGGUUUAAAGGGUGCGUAGGUGGGCAAGUAAGUCAGUGGUGAAAUCUCCGGGCUUAACCCGGAAACUGCCAUUGAUACUAUUUGUCUUGAAUACUGUGGAGGUCAGCGGAAUAUGUCAUGUAGCGGUGAGAUGCUUAGAUAUGACAUAGAACACCAAUUGCGAAGGCAGCUGGCUACACAAAUAUUGACACUGAGGCACGAAAGCGUGGGGAUCAAACAGG
rnacentral:rRNA from 1 species